rnacentral:rRNA from 1 species
AUGAACGCUGGCGGCGUGCCUAAUACAUGCAAGUCGAGCGAACGGACGAGAAGCUUGCUUCUCUGAUGUUAGCGGCGGACGGGUGAGUAACACGUGGAUAACCUACCUAUAAGACUGGGAUAACUUCGGUAAACCGUAGCUAAUACCGGAUAAUAUUUUGAACCGCAUGGUUCAAAAGUGAAAGACGGUCUUGCUGUCACUUAUAGAUGGAUCCGCGCUGCAUUAGCUAGUUGGUAAGGUAACGGCUUACCAAGGCAACGAUGCAUAGCCGACCUGAGAGGGUGAACGGCCACACUGGAACUGAGACACGGUCCAGACUCCUACGGGAGGCAGCAGUAGGGAAUCUUCCGCAAUGGGCGAAAGCCUGACGGAGCAACGCCGCGUGAGUGAUGAAGGUCUUCGGAUCGUAAAACUCUGUUAUUAGGGAAGAACAUAUGUGUAAGUAACUGUGCACAUCUUGACGGUACCUAAUCAGAAAGCCACGGCUAACUACGUG